GGCGGACGGGUGAGUAACGCGUGGGUAACCUGCCUCAUACAGGGGGAUAACAGUUAGAAAUGACUGCUAAUACCGCAUAAGCGCACAGUAUCGCAUGAUACAGUGUGAAAAACUCCGGUGGUAUGAGAUGGACCCGCGUCUGAUUAGCUAGUUGGUGGGGUAACGGCCCACCGUGGCAACGAUGUCUAGGGGUUCUGAGAGGAAGGUCCCCCACACUGGAACUGAGACACGGUCCAGACUCCUACGGGAGGCAGCAGUGAGGAAUAUUGGUCAAUGGUCGGGAGACUGAACCAGCCAUGCCGCGUGAAGGCGACGGCCCUAUGGGUCUUAAACUUCUUUUGCGAGGGAGCAAUAAGGAUUACGUGUAGUCCGAUGAGAGUACCUCGCGAAUAAGCAUCGGCUAACUCCGUGCCAGCAGCCCGCGGUAAUACCGGGGGAUGCGAGCGUUAUCCGGAUUUAUUGGGUUUAAAGGGUGCGUAGGCGGCCUGUAAAGUCAGCGGUGAAAUUCAGGGGCUCAACCUCUGCCGUGCCGUUGAUACUGGUGGGCUUGAAUGCGGAUGCCGUGGGAGGAAUGUGUGGUGUAGCGGUGAAAUGCAUAGAUAUCACACAGAACACCGAUUGCGAAGGCAUCUCACGAAUCCGCUAUUGACGCUGAUGCACGAAAGCGUGGGGAUCAAACAGGAUUAGAUACCCUGGUAGUCCACGCUGUAAACGAUGAUGACUAACCGUCGGCGAUACACAGUCGGUGGCCAAGCGAAAGCGAUAAGUCAUCCACCUGGGGAGUACGACCGCAAGGUUGAAACUCAAAGGAAUUGACGGGGGCCCGCACAAGCGGAGGAACAUGUGGUUUAAUUCGAUGAUACGCGAGGAACCUUACCCGGGCUCGAACGGCAGAUGAAUAACUCAGAGAUGGGUUAGUCUUCGGACAUCUGUCGAGGUGCUGCAUGGUUGUCGUCAGCUCGUGCUGUGAAGUGUCGGCUUAAGUGCCAUAACGAGCGCAACCCUUGCCGUUAGUUGCCAUCAGGUUAAGCUGGGGACUCUAGCGGGACUGCCACCGCAAGGUGUGAGGAAGGGGGGGAUGACGUCAAAUCAGCACGGCCCUUACGUCCGGGGCGACACACGUGUUACAAUGGUGGGUACAGAGGGAAGCUACCUGGCGACAGGAUGCAGAUCUCGAAAACCCAUCCCAGUUCGGAUUGGAGUCUGCAACCCGACUCCAUGAAGUUGGAUUCGCUAGUAAUCGCGCAUCAGCCAUGGCGCGGUGAAUACGUUCCCGGGCCUUG
rnacentral:rRNA from 1 species